CCAUAAUCACGUUGAAACACCGGUUCCGUACGAUCACCGAAGUUAAGCAACGUCGAGCCUGGUCAGUACCUAGAUGGGUGACCGCUUGGGAAUACCAGGUGCUGUA
rnacentral:rRNA from 1 species